rnacentral:rRNA from 1 species
GAUCCUGGCUCAGGAUGAACGCUAGCGACAGGCUUAACACAUGCAAGUCGAGGGGCAGCAUAAAAGUAGCAAUACUUGGUGGCGACCGGCGCACGGGUGAGUAACGCGUAUGCAACCUACCUAUCAGAGGGGAAUAACCCGGCGAAAGUCGGACUAAUACCGCAUAAAACAGGGGCACCGCAUGGUGAUAUUUGUUAAAGAAAUUCGCUGAUAGAUGGGCAUGCGUUCCAUUAGGUAGUUGGUGAGGUAACGGCUCACCAAGCCGACGAUGGAUAGGGGAACUGAGAGGUUGGUCCCCCACACUGGUACUGAGACACGGACCAGACUCCUACGGGAGGCAGCAGUGAGGAAUAUUGGUCAAUGGGCGAGAGCCUGAACCAGCCAAGUCGCGUGAAGGAAGAAGGAUCUAUGGUUCGUAAACUUCUUUUGCAGGGGAAUAAAGUGCAGGACGUGUCCUGUUUUGUAUGUACCCUGAGAAUAAGGAUCGGCUAACUCCGUGCCAGCAGCCGC